UACGUAGGGUGCAAGCGUUAAUCGGAAUUACUGGGCGUAAAGCGUGCGCAGGCGGUUUUGUAAGUUUGUCGUGAAAUCCCCGGGCUCAACCUGGGAAUGGCGAUGAAGACUGCAAGGCUAGAAUCUGGCAGAGGGGGGUAGAAUUCCACGUGUAGCAGUGAAAUGCGUAGAGAUGUGGAGGAACACCGAUGGCGAAGGCAGCCCCCUGGGUCAAGAUU
rnacentral:rRNA from 1 species